rnacentral:rRNA from 1 species
CGACCUGAGCUCAGGCAAGGCUACCCGCUGAACUUAAGCAUAUCAAUAAGCGGGAGGAACAGGA